AGAGUUUGAUCCUGGCUCAGGAUGAACGCUAGCUACAGGCUUAACACAUGCAAGUCGGGGGAAACGAUAUUGGAAGCUUGCUUCCGAUAGGCGUCGACCGGCGCACGGGUGAGUAACGCGUAUCCAACCUGCCCAUCACUUGGGGAUAACCUUGCGAAAGUAAGACUAAUACCCAAUGACGUCUCUAGAAGACAUCUGAAGGAGAUUAAAGAUUUAUCGGUGAUGGAUGGGGAUGCGUCUGAUUAGCUUGUUGGCGGGGUAACGGCCCACCAAGGCAACGAUCAGUAGGGGUUCUGAGAGGAAGGUCCCCCACAUUGGAACUGAGACACGGUCCAAACUCCUACGGGAGGCAGCAGUGAGGAAUAUUGGUCAAUGGGCGAGAGCCUGAACCAGCCAAGUAGCGUGCAGGAAGACGGCCCUAUGGGUUGUAAACUGCUUUUAUAAGGGAAUAAAGUGAGUCUCGUGAGACUUUUUGCAUGUACCUUAUGAAUAAGGACCGGCUAAUUCCGUGCCAGCAGCCGCGGUAAUACGGAAGGUCCGGGCGUUAUCCGGAUUUAUUGGGUUUAAAGGGAGCGUAGGCCGGAGAUUAAGCGUGUUGUGAAAUGUAGACGCUCAACGUCUGCACUGCAGCGCGAACUGGUUUCCUUGAGUACGCACAAAGUGGGCGGAAUUCGUGGUGUAGCGGUGAAAUGCUUAGAUAUCACGAAGAACUCCGAUUGCGAAGGCAGCUCACUGGAGCGCAACUGACGCUGAAGCUCGAAAGUGCGGGUAUCGAACAGGAUUAGAUACCCUGGUAGUCCGCACGGUAAACGAUGGAUGCCCGCUGUUGGUCUGAACAGGUCAGCGGCCAAGCGAAAGCAUUAAGCAUCCCACCUGGGGAGUACGCCGGCAACGGUGAAACUCAAAGGAAUUGACGGGGGCCCGCACAAGCGGAGGAACAUGUGGUUUAAUUCGAUGAUACGCGAGGAACCUUACCCGGGCUUGAAUUGCAGAGGAAGGAUUUGGAGACAAUGACGCCCUUCGGGGUCUCUGUGAAGGUGCUGCAUGGUUGUCGUCAGCUCGUGCCGUGAGGUGUCGGCUUAAGUGCCAUAACGAGCGCAACCCCUCUCCUUAGUUGCCAUCAGGUUAAGCUGGGCACUCUGGGGACACUGCCACCGUAAGGUGUGAGGAAGGUGGGGAUGACGUCAAAUCAGCACGGCCCUUACGUCCGGGGCUACACACGUGCUACAAUGGCGUAAACAAAGGGAAGCGGAGCCGUGAGGCCGAGCAAAUCUCAAAAAUAACGUCUCAGUUCGGACUGUAGUCUGCAACCCGACUACAC
rnacentral:rRNA from 1 species